rnacentral:rRNA from 1 species
UAGCCGUAAACGAUACUCGCUAGGUGUCGGCCACGGUGCGACCGUUGUCGGUGCCGUAGGGAAGCCGUGAAGCGAGCCACCUGGGAAGUACGGCCGCAAGGCUGAAACUUAAAGGAAUUGGCGGGGGAGCAUAACAACGGGUGGAGCUUGCGGUUUAAUUGGAUUCAACGCCGGAAAUCUUACCGGGACCGACAGCAACAUGAAGGCCAAGCUGAAGACUUUGCCGGAUUAGCUGAGAGGUGGUGCAUGGCGUAGUCGUGU